rnacentral:lncRNA from 1 species
AGUUCAGGCGCGAGGCAAGCAGCCGAGGUCCGGGGCUGCGGCCGCGGCCGGGGCGGACCCGGGAGCUGGGCUUCCCAAAGCGUCGCGUGUGGGCAACGGCGGCCUCCUGGCCGCGUGGAACUGAGCCCUGCGCUGCAGCAUGAAGGCGGCGGCGGCGGCGGCGGCGGGCGCGCGGCCGUGAGCUCAGCCCGCGCUGCAGUGACGGGAGCGGCCGUGUCGGCCAGACCCCGAGAGUCCGUGAGACCCCGGCCGGGGCCGCUCCGCUGCUGUCAGCCCUCGGGCCUCCCAGCCAGACUGGUUCUGAACCGAUUUAUCAGGGGGUUGCGGAGAGGGCCGGCGAAGCGCCAGGAAAUCCCCAGGCUGAGGAGGCGCGGGGGCGUUGCAGGAAGGGGGAAGGGAAAAGGCAGAAAACCUGGAGAAUGAAAGCGAACUUCCAGGGGCGUCCCCAGCCUCCUGCAAAAGGGCAAUUUGCUGAUCGCCCACUUCCUCGCAGUUACGGGAUAGAGAGAAUCAUCACUGAGUCAAGCUUCGGCUGCUUAGGGCGGUGGGAAAAGUCAUUAUCUAUAAUAACCCGCCGGAAAUUUUGAGGAGAGCUACUGACUUGGGGGUUUCAGUCAUCUGAGGCUGGCUUCCGCUGUCCCCUUAGUUGUGGGUGGUGAUUUGCUUACUAAUCAGAUGGGAGCGGAUUCUGAAAAGAACAUUUAUAUUUGGGAAUCAACUCAGCUCAGCAUCAGACAUUACGAAUACUGCAGUUGGUCACAUUUUACUAUGUGAAGGGCAGAAAGGGAGCCCAACAGUCUUCAUAAGCCAGACCUAGUCUCUAAGGUCACCGGCACAGACGCAGGGUCUAAAGCAGGAAAGAGGUGCGACUGGAAAGGAGGUUAGACAGGGCCCUGCGGGAAUGGAUCUGCCCGGAGCCCUCGCCUGGUUUUGCUUGAGACUCCGACAAGACUCCCAAUGCUUCUCUCCCCGACCCUAUCCCCACUCCCUCCAUCCUGGAAAAGCCAGUGAGCAAAGUUAACUCUUUCUUCUAAGAAACCCUGAGUGAAAUCUUGCUCUUCCUUUCUGCUAGAGUCCUGAAACCCUUUCGCUUCUCAUUGUGGGUUCACCAGCACGUGGUCUUCGGACACUGAGAGCACCUUCGCUCUCAGCUGUGAUCCUAGCUAGCCCAGACACCAGUCUGUACCCAAAGGAAGAGUAGGAAGUUGCAAAGGGAAGCUGGCUAACAAGGGCUUCUUCUGCCCUACUUGGCAAAGGCCCAUACGGGUGGCCUCCGUGGAUAUGGAGCUCCUUCAUUUUGUUCCAAAAAGAGCUCUGCCAGGCUUUACCAUUGCCCUGGAGGUGCACAGGCGCCCGUAUACUCGAGCACAACCAUGGGCUCACCCCAAGCGCGCACACCUGCACCCACGCGUAAGGAAGAACCACACAGCUAUCUCUGUCGGGGAAGAACACGAGGAGUGAAGUGCUUUAGGUGGAAACUCCUCACAUCUCCUUUCUUUCCUCUGCUCCCCCUCUCUGCCCCUGGUACUCCGGAUCCAAUCCUUGGCUUAGGAAUCCACUCAAGCCACGUCUGGCUGCUUUGUUCCAGAGGAGCGCAGCUCCGAGACUGCACUUCAGCGGUGCAGCCUCCCUCCAGGUCGGCGAGCGGCGCCAGAUCCGGGACUUCAGGGUCUCCGCGGGAGCUUAGGAGGCUCAGGAUCUGAGUUGGAGAGCUGGAAGGCCAAACUCCGAGCCGCUGAGGGACUGCGCAGGAAGACCACAGAAAUAAACCAAAGGGACACCGCGGACAGAUGUACCAGAGGACACCACUGAAGUCCAGGAGAAUCUCCACCAAAACCAUCAGCGUUUUCCUUGUAGCUUUCUGUCCCUCGAAGUGGAAAGUUGAGGUUUCUGAGAAGUCCACGGAGAGAACCUGCAGCAAACUGAAGCCACAGACUCCGAAGGCAUAGGGAGAAAAAAUGCUUCCAUCCCCCUUUCACUUUAAACUUGAUCGCUUCUGGGACUUCACUGGAGGGCGGUGGAGUUGCACCAACCUGGAGUACAGGCAGAUCCCAGCGAGCACUUCCAAGUACUUUAGGACGUGGGGGUGACUCUUUUUUCUUCAGGAUUGUCCCACUUGCCACCCUUUCCAGCUGAGCUGAUAGGAACCAAUGAAAGUCUAGGCGAUGAGGAUUUUCCGUUACCUCAGGGAUCAAAGUAUAAAAUGUUGAAUGAGAAACCCGAAGACCUUGCAUCGCUGGGCUGAAUAACUUGUUUUCUUUUUUAUGGUGUCCAGACUGAGGUAGGGAGGGGACACACUGACCUAGCUGUAAGAAGUCAAGGGUUGGGACAAAACAAAGUUCAAAUAUAUACUGGAAUUUGUGUGUGUGUGUGUUUCAGAAACUGUGUGUGUGUGUGUGUGUGUGUGUGUGUGUGUGUGUUUUCAGCUUGAGAAAGAUGAAAUCACGUUUCCUUAAUGCUGGGAGUAAUAAUGCUUAAUGCUUAACUUUUCAUUGUUCUUUCAUGUUUCAAGCCCUACCAGGCCCAGGAAAACACUUCUUUCCGUUUCCUGUAGCCUUCCUGCGUAUCAUGCAUUAUAUUUGAAAGUGCUUUCCUCUACUUUCCUCAUUUUAUCUCAAUAAUCUCUGCUAAAACCAGAUAACUUUCACCCUCCCGGUUCAGCAUUUGCUCUUUUCCCUCCUACACAAGCUGAUUAGAAUUUGCAAAGAGAGAGGAAGAAGAAAGGUUCUAUUUUGUUUCAUGAUUGUUGCUAGAAAACGGCAAGACCUCGGGAGAGAGACCAGCAUAUUAUUUCCCAGUGGAUGUCAGAGCUAGCAAAGUUUUUUUUUUUUCUUUAAAUUUUAUUCCCUAGCAGGUCAAAAACUAGUAUGUUUGCAAGAACAAUUUCUAGUUUGCUCAUAAAACUAUUGUUAUUAGCCACUCUAAGGUUGGCAUACUUUUAAAAGUUCAAACAAGUUCCUUCUAGAAUAGGGUUCUUUUAAACAUUAACAUUUAAAAAGAAGUAAUUUUUUUCAUAAAUAAUUUAGAUUUAACUCUUUACCUCUAUAGUAUAUCUGCCUUACUUCGUUAAUGUGUCCCCUGAUUUACUGCCUAUGUCAAAGCACUUUUAAAAUAAUGUCAAUUUUCUUGUUCUCCCAGUUCAUUUUUCUGAGGACCAAUGGUGAUAAGUGUUGGUCUGCCUAUCUUCCCAGAAUAAUCCAAGAUUUGGGGAAAGAAAGAGUAUUUUGCUAAUUUCAGCAAAGAAACAUAUAUUGGGGAAAGGAUACUGUAUUCAGUAAAUUGUGCUGGAAAAAGUGGUAAGCCACAUGUAGAAGAAUGAAACUGGAUCCCCAGCUCUCACCUAAUACAAAAAUCGACUCAAGAUGCAUCAAAGACUUAAAUAUAAAACCUGAAACCUUGAAAAUUCUAGAAGAUAACACCAGAAAAACUCUUCUAAAUGUUGGCUUACGCAAAGAAUUCAUGACUAAGACACCAAAAGAAAAUGCAACAAAAACAAAAAUAAAUAAAUGGGACUCAAUUAAACUGAAAAGAUUUUGCACACCAAAUAAAUAAUCAGAAGAAUAAACAGAAAACCCACAGAAUGGAAGAAAAUAUUCACCAACUAUGCAUCUGACAAAGGACUAGUAUCCAGAAUUUACAAGGAACUCAAACAAAUAAAUGAAUUCAAAUAUCCCAUUAAAAAGUGUGCAAAGGACAUGAAUAGACAAUUGUCAAAAGAAGAUAUACAAACAGCCAAUAAACAUAAAAAAAAAUACAGCAUCGCUAGUCACCAGGGAAAUGCAAAUUAAAACCACAGUGAGAUUCCACCUUACUCCCGCAAGAAUGUCCACAAUUAAAAAGUCAGAAAACAAUAGAUGUUGGCAUGGAUUUGGUGAAAAUCACAUCAGUGAAUACAGAUUUGGGAAGAAAUGUGCAUAACUGGUUUCAGCUAGCCAACACGCUGGUCCCAGUAUACCACUGGCUACGGCAUUCUAAAAGUGUCCUCAUAUGUAUCUAUUAAAUAUUCAAGAACUUUGACCAAUAUAUUCUCUGCCAAAUGCUCUCAAGAAAUCUUGGUGGAGAUGGUGUCGGGGUAAGGUGGGGGUUUUUCCGAAAUGGAAUCAUGUUAAUGUGGACUUAAUGUUAAAAUAUGAAUUUUCAAAAAAAUUUGCUUUACUUUCAGUAGGCUAAAUACCUACAUAGUAAAAUUUAAAAAAAUCUGUAAUUCUCUCUUAAUUUAUUCAUUAUACUAUUAUAUGUGGUAGGCAUUUUUUUCCUGGCUCUCAUAUCAUUUGUGUUUGUUUUAUACUAAUGAAAUACAGAAAAACUCUGUAGUAUAUAGAGCCCAAUGGAACUUUUAAGAGUGAGAAUUUUAAUUUGUAUAUUAUGGAAAAGUCAUCUCAGAAAUAUUAGUUUAUAAAUAUGCAGAUACAAUUUCUAGAAUGUCAAAAAAUAAUCCUUUCACCUGAGUUGUCUUAAGUAAAUAACUUUUAGGAUUUUUAAUUGGAUUAUUUAUGUAAUCAUUAUAAAGGAGAUCUGAGGUAAAUUGCUUAAGCAUUUUCUUUAGCUUUUUGCAAGACUAAAAAUGGAGAAUAAAUAUUUGCUCAAAUAUCGAGUCAAACUAAUUUUGAAGAGAAAUCUCUAAAUACUUUAUUAAAUGACCAAAAUAUAAGAAAAUGUUUAAAAAGACUGCAAAUAGAAACACAUCAGUUUAAAGCACACAAAGAGAUAAGUGGAAAAAGUAUUUUCUCAGAACAUGCUAAAAAAAACUUAGAAUAUCCAGGAUACUGCAUUUAUUCAUCCUUACAACAUGAAUUUUAAAUAUCUUAGCGACUGUGCUAUCAUUUUCAGUGUUCUGUAUGAAUUCUUACCUUCUCAGAAGAUUAUGUAGAUAUAACAGAUACUUCUGGAAUAUAUAUCCAUGAUAAGAUUUGUCUUUUUACAGGAGAAAAGAAAAUAUAUCAAGUCCAACAGAACUUAAGAAAAUACAAUUUAAUUAACUUUAUAUGAUAUAGGCCUUGUUAAUAUUAUAUAUCAAAAAAGAAUUCUAGUUUAUAUUCUUUUGUCUGUAAGAUGGGGGAGCUGUUGCAUUAUAAAAAAUACUGGUCAGUUCCAUUCCUCUAAGCAUUUUCUUUUGAUUAAAAUCAUUUGUAGUAAAAAUGAUGACCCAAACCUUUGUAAAUGAUAUUUUAGCUGGGUUAUAAUCUAAUGAAAUUGUGAUUUUAAAAGUGCUUCAAUUACUACAACUAUAAAAUCUUGGUUUACUAGGAAUAUGUAUAAGGUGAAGUAUCCAUUAUUUCUUUAACAUCAGUAUAUAUUGUUUAACAUUCUGCUUUUGGGCUAAGACUUCCUAGGCUUUACAGAAGAGAAGUUGUUUAUCUGAACAGUGUAAAAAUAUGUGUGUGUGUGUGUGUGUGUGUGUGUGUGUAUGUGUAUAAAAAUAUAUGUUCUGUUGUUAUUUAGUUAUGUCUUCCCUGAAAACACUGAUAGAUCCAACAAGUCUCUUGAUUCCUCUUAAAGAUAAGCAAGAAGAAGAAUAAAGUAUGUCACACUUAAACUUGAGUAAAUCCAAGUUGGAAAAACAGAAGCAGAUUUUUUUUUAAUCCUACAGGAUGAAUGUUGAGAGAGACAAAAAUAUUAACACCACAUAAAUUAUAACCUAGAGAAAUUCUAAACCAGGUUGAAAACCUACGCAUAAGCAGUCAAUAAUUAUCUUACACUUAUGCAAUACAAUUUUUUAUUACAGAAAGAACUUUAGUAAUUACCUCAUGCUGUAUAUAUGGGAAAGGAGAUAAGGAAGAAAAACUCUUUAUAGUAUGCAAUUAGUUAUCUCCUGCCUUAUCUUGGUAUUUGUAGAAACACUUGGAAGUAGGAAAAGUGAACAUUUGUAUCCCUGUUCUAUAGUUUAAAAAAUUGACACACAUAAGUUAUUUUUAAUUUAUCCAGUUAAUCACCAGUAAUCAUGAUGCUUUAUGAAUGACAAUUCUUUUAUAUUUAUUCAAAAAUAUGGGGAAAAUAAAUGACAUCUGCCUAUAUAACUUAAAAUUCUUGAAGAAAAUGUGUAUAGGAAUAACUUGGUAUGAAAUGUUAUAGAAAUGUUAGUUCUUUGUCUCUUAUAGUUACAGUAAGUGGCUAAUCAUCAUGUCUACGUUUAUGUAUAAUUUAUUUACAUUUUAAAAUGUUCUAACCUUGAAUACAUAGGGAACAAAUAUCUGAUGAUAGGUGUUUGCAAGGCAGCAUCAGUGAUUUUUCUUGAUAUUUUAUCUGAAAUAUCUGAGUAUCUACUAGGAAUCUAACAUGGAAAGGUAAUUACAUAUGAUGUUGGAAGCAAAUUUGUAUACACCCUAUUUAUGGCCAAGCAAAACAGUGUAAUGUGUCUGAGCAUGUAUGUGUUCCUUUCACCAGUUUUCUUGUGGUAGAAUUUAUAAAACUGCAUAUAUUCACAAUGUACAAUGUGAUGGUUUGACGUAUAUAUACAUUGUGAAAUAAUUACCACAAUCAAGUCAAUGAACACAUUCAUCACCUCAGCGUUUUCUAAAAUUACAUUUAUCAAACUGUAUUUGAAAGUAAAUGUGUUUUCUCAUUGUUAACCACGACUUUAAAACUUUAUUACAGAUUAAUGUUAAGAAAGCUACUGAAAUUAAUUUUAGUAAUAAAACAUCUGAAUAUACACCAUGAAAUGUAUAAAUGUAUGUGCUGAUUUUAGGAGUACAACUAAAUAAGUAAUGCAAACUUACUUGCAGGAUCAUCACUUUAACUCUGUCUCUCUCUCUCUCUCUCUCUUUAUAUAUAUGUCUCUCUCAUAUAUAUGAUAUAUCUUAUACAUCUAACUAUAUAUAUGUAGAGGAAGAAAGAGACACUAUAGAGUAAUACAACCUUUCCAUUAACUGCAUAUAAAGUCAGCCUUAUAAUAAUGCCCCUGGAUUAUCUGACCCUUUAAUAAAAUGUUAUACAUAUUUAGAGACUUGGAUUGUGCCUGUUUUUACUAACAGUUGUUAUUUAAAAUAUUAUUAGUAAGUUAAUUCAUAUAAACCAUGCAGAGAAGCUGUAUAACUGUGCAUAUAAAUAGUGAAGAGAAACUGAUCUGGCAUUCAGGGAUGUUGAGAUUAUUCCAACUCCGCUGCCAAUUGGCUGUGUGUCUUUGGAGAGGUCACAUAAUAUCUCCGAGCUAUAGUUUCCUUAUCAGUAACAUAGACUAGAUGAUUUUUAAAAUUUCACUCAGCACAUAAUUUGAUCUCUAACUUAAAAGAGCUGGAAUAAAAAUCACCACUAAAAAUUAUUAGCGUUACUAUGGUUGUACUUUGUUUUUAUACAUUACAGGCAUUAAAAACUACCUAGAGUUAAUUAGUAUUCGACAAAAUUAUUUCUUACAAAUCUUACGCUAUUCUGUAACGCAUGGGUCUAAUAUGUAUUUAAUGUAGCUUUCGUACAACUGCAAAAACUUCAAAGCAUAUCUGAACUUGUGGGUUUUGUAAGACUUGAACGCUAUAAAUGAAAGUAAUGGAAAUUUUAUUAUAUUCUAUUAUCGAUUGUGUGAUUAGAGUUGUUGAGUGGUAACUCAGUGUCUCAUGUGUGUGAAAGAGAGAGAAAUGAUGACAGUUGUAAAAGCCUAAGAUACACAAGACAGAAUAGUGGUUAGGAUCAUAAGCUUGGAAAUUAGAACCGAUAUUUUACUUCCAGUGUCUGCCACAUCUCAGUGGUAUGACUUUGGGAAAGUAGUUUAAUUUCUCUGAGUUACUUCAUCUGUAGUAUGCAGAUUACAAUAGCCACCGCACAGUGGGUAUAAAGAUGAGUAAGGUUAUAUUUUUGAACACGUAGAAGAGUAUCUGACAUACAAUAAGUGUGUACCGUUAAAGUAUACUUAAACAAAAUUUAAUAUUAAUAAAAGCUAUAUAUAGGUAUAUGGUUUUCACUUUUUGUUGUUGUUGUUAUUAUUGUUUUUCUUCAGUGCUGGGAAAACUGGCUAGCCAUAUGUAGAAAGCUGAGACUGGAUCCCUUCCUUACACCUUAUACAAAAAUUAAUUCAAGAUGGAUUAAAGACUUAAACAUUAGACCUAAAACCAUAAAAACCCUAGAAGAAACCUAGGCAAUACCAUUCAGGACAUAGGCAUGGGCAAGGACUUCAUGUCUAAAACACCAAAAGCAAUGGCAACAAAAGCCAAAACUGACAAAUGGGAUCUAAUUAAAGUAAAGAGCUUCUGCACAGCAAAAGAAACUACCAUCAGAGUGAACAGGCAACCUACAGAAUGGGAGAACAUUUUUGCAAUCUAUUCAUCUGACAAAGGGCUAAUAUCCAGAAUCUACAAUUAACUCAAACAAAUUUACAAGAAAAAAUCAAACAACCCCAUCAAAAAGUGGGCAAAGGAUAUGAACAGACACUUCUCAAAAGAAGACAUUUAUGCAGUCAACAGACAUAUGAAAAAACGCACAUCAUCACUGGCCAUCAGAGAAAUGCAAAUCAAAACCACAAUGAGAUACCAUCUCACACCAGUUAGAAUGGUGAUCAUUAAAAAGUCA